rnacentral:misc_RNA from 1 species
GAUGAAGAACGCAGCGAAAUGCGAUAAGUAAUGUGAAUUGCAGAAUUCAUUGAAUCAUCGAAUCUUUGAACGCACAUUGCGCCCGCCAGUAUUCUGGCGGGCAUGCCUGUUCGAGCGUCAUUACAACCCUCAGGCCCCCGGGCCUGGCGUUGGGGAUCGGCGGAAGCCCCCUGCGGGCACAACGCCGUCCCCCAAAUACAGUGGCGGUCCCGCCGCAGCUUCCAUUGCGUAGUAGCUAACACCUCGCAACUGGAGAGCGGCGCGGCCACGCCGUAAAACACCCAACUUCUGAAUGUUGACCUCGAAUCAGGUAGGAAUACCCGCUGAACUUAAGCAUAUCAAUAAGCGGAGGA